UGGCUUAGUGGAAUAGUCAGUGU
rnacentral:miRNA from 1 species